rnacentral:misc_RNA from 1 species
GUGAAUCAUCGAAUCUUUGAACGCACAUUGCGCCUCAUGGUAUUCCGUGAGGCAUGCCUGUCUGAGCGUCAACAACACCACUCAAGCAUUGCUUUCUUGCUCUGCCUGGUCCAUGUCAAGGAAGCGGUUGGGCCUGUCCAACUGCCCCUUGAAAAGCAAUAGAUGGUCAGGUUGUCACCUUAAGCCAAACGUCAUAUGAUUCUUAUCGUUCGUUUGUCUAUCUGACUUCUUGACAGUUGUUGAACCCAACAGCAUCAUGCUGUUUAUUCUGACUUGACCUCAGAUCAGGUAGGGAUACCC